AAUUCAGAGAUUGUUAUUUAGGACAUAAAAUAGGUGCAGGGAAAGUGGGUUGUGCUUGUGUAACUCAGGACAGUCAUGAAUUUUGGGGAUGGAAAUUCAGAGAUUGUUAUUUAGGACACAAAAUAGGUGCAGGGAAAGUGGAUUGUGCUUGUGUAACAGACUGUCAUGAAAUUUGGGGAUGGGAAUUCAGAGUUUUCUUUUUUAGGAAG